rnacentral:rRNA from 1 species
UGGUGGAGCGAUUUGUCUGGUCAAUUCCGAUAACGAACGAGACUCUAGCCUACUAAAUAGUUUCGGGGGACCCCCCACAAAGGGGCCCCGCUUCAACUUCUUAGAGGGACAGGUGGCGUUUAGCCACACGAGAUUGAGCAAUAACA